UACGAAGGGGGCUAGCGUUGCUCGGAAUCACUGGGCGUAAAGGGUGCGUAGGCGGGUUUUAAGUCAGGGGUGAAAUCCUGGAGCUCAACUCCAGAACUGCCUUUGAUACUGAAAAUCUUGAGUCCGGGAGAGGUGAGUGGAACUGCGAGUGUAGAGGUGAAAUUCGUAGAUAUUCGCAAGAACACCAGUGGCGAAGGCGGCUCACUGGACUGGUAUUGACGCUGAGGUGCGAAAGCGUGGGGAGCAAACAGG
rnacentral:rRNA from 1 species